CAGUCGCCGCGGGAAUACGGAGGGUGCAAGCGUUAAUCGGAAUUACUGGGCGUAAAGCGUGCGCAGGCGGUCAUAUAAGACAGAUGUGAAAUCCCCGGGCUCAACCUGGGAACUGCAUUUGUGACUGUAUAGCUAGAGUACGGCAGAGGGGGAUGGAAUUCCGCGUGUAGCAGUGAAAUGCGUAGAUAUGCGGAGGAACACCGAUGGCGAAGGCAAUCCCCUGGGCCUGUACUGACGCUCAUGCGCGAAAGCGUGGGGAGCAAACAGGAUUAGAUACCCCCGUAGUCCCUGUCUCUUAUAC
rnacentral:rRNA from 1 species